rnacentral:rRNA from 1 species
GACGAACGCUGGCGGCGCGCUUAACACAUGCAAGUCGAACGGAAAGGCCUGCUUUCCCUUGUGGAUUGCGGGUACUCGAGUGGGGAACGGGUGAGUGACACGUGAGUGAUCUGCCCCCAACUUGGGUAUAAGCCUGGGAAACUGGGUCUAAUUCCCGAUAGGACUGCAGGGUGGUGCCUGUGGUGGAAAACGAUUUUCUAGUGGUUGGGGAUGAGCUCGCGGCCUAUCAGCUUGUUGGUGGGGUAAUGGCCUACCAAGGCGGCGACGGGUAGCCGGCCUGGGAGGGUGGACGGCCACAUUGGGACUGAGAUACGGCCCAGACUCCUACGGGAGGCAGCAGUGGGGAAUAUUGCACAAUGGGCGGAAGCCUGAUGCAGCGACGCCGCGUGGGGGAUGACGGCCUUCGGGUUGUAAACUCCUUUCGACCGCGAGGAAGCCACCUGGUUGGAAGGGUGGUGACGGUAGUGGUAGAAGAAGCACCGGCUAACUACGUG